CCAGUUGAUGCUUCUCCAGAUUUCUGGUACCAUAUCUAUGGCAUUAUGAUCUUGAUUCGUAGAUGCAGAAUUGUCUCUAGUCUCUGUGGGAAAUGAGAUUUUUAAAAGGCUCCUCUUCUUCUUGCCCUCAUCAUUGCCUGUUUCCCUAGGUUCCUUUAUUACAUUAUUACAUUUGGUGAGUCACUGAUUCUCAUAUUCCCAGCAUUGCUCAGUUGUCUGAUGACCCAUGGCCUUUGAUCAUAUGCCUAAGAACUGGAGUCUUGCACCUCUGGAUGAAGUCUUUUGAUUAUGAGAACAAAAAACAAGUAAUGAGUGAAUUGCCUCCAAAUAUUAGUUUCUACUUUUUAAAAAUUCUGAUGGGGUGGAGGGAGCAAGUGCCCCUGUGCACCUGUGGACAUCAGCCCCUGUGCACCUGUGGACAUCAGCCCCUGUGCACCUGUGGACAUCAGCCCCUGUGCACCUGUGCACAUCAGCCCCUGUGCACCUGUGGACAUCAGCCCUGUGCACCUGUGGAUAUCAGCCCCUGUGCACCUGUGGACAUCAGCCCCUAUGCACCUGUGGACAUCAGCCCCUGUGCACCUGUGGAUAUCAGCUCCUGUGCACCUGUGGAUAUCAGCUCCUGUGCACCUGUGGACAUCAGCCCUGUGCAUCUGUGGACAUCAGCCCUGUGCACCUGUGCACAUCAGCCCCUGUGUACCUGUGGACAUCAGCCCCUGUGCACCUGUGGACAUCAGCCCCUGUGUACCUGUGGACAUCAGCCCCUGUGCACCUGUGGACAUCAGCCCCUGUGCACCUGUGCACAUCAGCCCCUGUGCACCUGUGGAUAUCAGCCCCUGUGCACCUGUGGACAUCAGCCCCUAUGCACCUGUGCACAUCAGCCCCUGUGCACCUGUGGAUAUCAGCCCCUGUGCACCUGUAGACAUCAGCCCUGUGCACCUGUGGAUAUCAGCCCCUGUGCACUUGUGGACAUCAGCCCUGUGCACCUAUGGACAUCAGCCUCUGUGUACCUUAGACAUCAUCAGCCCCAGUGAACUUGUGGACAUCAGCCCCUGUGUACCUUAGACAUCAUCAGCCCCAGUGAACUUGUGGACAUCAGCCCCUGUGUACCUGUGGACAUCAGCCCCUGUGUAGCUGUGGACAUCAGCCCUGUGCACCUGUGGACAUCAGCCCCUGUGCACCUGUGGACAUCAGCCCCUGUGCACCUGUGCACAUCAGCCCCUGUGCACCUGUGGACAUCAGCCCCUGUGUACCUUAGACAUCAUCAGCCCCAGUGGACCUGU
rnacentral:lncRNA from 1 species